GGCUCAUGCGAGCCAGAGGGGUAUGGGGGUGGGGCUGAGCAAUUUAAGAAAGCCCCAGUGCCCCUCUGGCUUGCAUGAGUC